CCCGUAACUUCGGGAGAAGGGGUGCUUUCUUAACGGAAAGCCGCAGUGAAUAGGCCCAAGCGACUGUUUAGCAAAAACACAGCUCUCUGCGAAGCCGUAAGGCGAAGUAUAGGGGGUGACACCUGCCCGGUGCUGGAAGGGUAAGGAGAGGGGUUAGCGUAAGCGAAGCUCUGAACUGAAGCCCCAGUAAACGGCGGCCGUAACUAUAACGGUCCUAAGGGAGCGAAAUUCCUGGUCGGGUAAGUUCCGACCCGCACGAAAGGGGUAACGAUUUGGGCACGGUCUCAACCAGAGACUCGGUGAAAUUAUAGUACCUGUGAAGAAGCAGGUUACCCGCGACAGGACGGAAAGACCCCGUGGAGCUUUACUGUAGCCUGAUAUUGAAUUUUGGUACAGUUUGUACAGGAUAGGCGGGAGCCUUUGAAACCGGAGCGCUAGCUUCGGUGGAGGCGCUGGUGGGAUACCGCCCUGACUGUAUUGAAAUUCUAACCUACGGGUCUUAUCGACCCGGGAGACAGUGUCAGGUGGGCAGUUUGACUGGGGCGGUCGCCUCCUAAAGUGUAACGGAGGCGCCCAAAGGUUCCCUCAGAAUGGUUGGAAAUCAUUCGUAGAGUGCAAAGGCAUAAGGGAGCUUGACUGCGAGACCUACAAGUCGAGCAGGGACGAAAGUCGGGCUUAGUGAUCCGGUGGUUCCGCAUGGAAGGGCCAUCGCUCAACGGAUAAAAGCUACCCCGGGGAUAACAGGCUUAUCUCCCCCAAGAGUCCACAUCGACGGGGAGGUUUGGCACCUCGAUGUCGGCUCAUCGCAUCCUGGGGCUGUAGUCGGUCCCAAGGGUUGGGCUGUUCGCCCAUUAAAGCGGUACGCGAGCUGGGUUCAGAACGUCGUGAGACAGUUCGGUCCCUAUCCGUCGUGGGCGUAGGAAAUUUGAGAGGAGCUGUCCUUAGUACGAGAGGACCGGGAUGGACGCACCGCUGGUGUACCAGUUGUUCUGCCAAGGGCAUAGCUGGGUAGCUAUGUGCGGAAGGGAUAAGUGCUGAAAGCAUCUAAGCAUGAAGCCCCCCUCAAGAUGAGAUUUCCCAUAGCGUAAGCUAGUAAGAUCCCUGAAAGAUGAUCAGGUUGAUAGGUUCGAGGUGGAAGCAUGGUGACAUGUGGAGCUGACGAAUACUAAUAGAUCGAGGACUUAACCAU
rnacentral:rRNA from 1 species